rnacentral:rRNA from 1 species
UACGAAGGGGGCUAGCGUUGCUCGGAAUGACUGGGCGUAAAGCGCACGUAGGCGGCUUUGUAAGUCAGAGGUGAAAGCCUGGAGCUCAACUCCAGAACUGCCUUUGAGACUGCAUCGCUCGAAUCCGGGAGAGGUGAGUGGAAUUCCGAGUGUAGAGGUGAAAUUCGUAGAUAUUCGGAAGAACACCAGUGGCGAAGGCGGCUCACUGGACCGGUAUUGACGCUGAGGUGCGAAAGCGUGGGGAGCAAACAGG